UACCGAGACUGCAAGCGUUAUUCGGAUUCACUGGGCGUAAAGGGUGCGCAGGCGGCCAAGUGUGUGAGGCGUGAAAGCCCGGGGCUCAACCCCGGAAUUGCACCUCAAACUACAUGGCUAGAGCAUUGGAGAGGGUAGCAGAAUUCAUGGUGUAGCAGUGAAAUGCGUAGAGAUCGGCAGGAACACCCAGGGGGAAACCAGUCGACUGGGCAUCUACUGACGCUGAGGUGCGAGAGCGUGGGGAGCGAACCGG
rnacentral:rRNA from 1 species